AAUGAACGCUGGCGGCAUGCCUUACACAUGCAAGUCGAACGGCAGCAUGACCUAGCUUGCUAGGUUGAUGGCGAGUGGCGAACGGGUGAGUAAUGCAUCGGAACGUGCCUUUUAGUGGGGGAUAACGUAGCGAAAGUUACGCUAAUACCGCAUAUUCUCUGAGGAGGAAAGCAGGGGACCUUCGGGCCUUGCGCUAGAAGAGUGGCCGAUGUCGGAUUAGCUAGUUGGUGAGGUAAAGGCUCACCAAGGCAACGAUCCGUAGCGGGUCUGAGAGGAUGAUCCGCCACACUGGGACUGAGACACGGCCCAGACUCCUACGGGAGGCAGCAGUGGGGAAUUUUGGACAAUGGGCGCAAGCCUGAUCCAGCCAUGCCGCGUGAGUGAAGAAGGCCUUCGGGUUGUAAAGCUCUUUCGGCUGGGAAGAAAUCGCACCCUCUAAUACAGGGUGUGGAUGACGGUACCAGCAUAAGAAGCACCGGCUAACUACGUG
rnacentral:rRNA from 1 species